GAAGCGUGGUGCUCGGUGCGGCACCGGCAUUAUGGUGGAAGACAAAUAUUUGGCCUCGGUCGCGUUGGGAGCCGCCAUU